GACGAACGCUGGCGGCGUGCUUAACACAUGCAAGUCGAACGGAAAGGCCCUGCUUGCAGGGUACUCGAGUGGCGAACGGGUGAGUAACACGUGGGUGAUCUGCCCUGUACUUCGGGAUAAGCCUGGGAAACUGGGUCUAAUACCGGAUAGGAGCCAUUUUUAGUGUGGUGGUUGGAAAGUUUUUUCGGUGUAGGAUGAGCUCGCGGCCUAUCAGCUUGUUGGUGGGGUAAUGGCCUACCAAGGCGGCGACGGGUAGCCGGCCUGAGAGGGUGGACGGCCACAUUGGGACUGAGAGACGGCCCAGACUCCUACGGGAGGCAGCAGUGGGGAAUAUUGCACAAUGGGCGCAAGCCUGAUGCAGCGACGCCGCGUGGGGGAUGACGGCCUUCGGGUUGUAAACUCCUUUCGCUAGGGACGAAGCUUUUUGUGACGGUACCUAGAUAAGAAGCACCGGCUAACUACGUG
rnacentral:rRNA from 1 species